CCUACGGGUGGCUGCAGUGGGGGAUAUUGCACAAUGGGGGGAACCCUGAUGCAGCGACGCCGCGUGGGUGAAGAAGCGCCUCGGCGCGUAAAGCUCUGUUAGCAGGGAAGAAAACGACGGUACCUGAAGCAGAAGCCCCGGCUAACUACGUGCCAGCAGCCGCGGUAAUACGCAGGGGGCAAGCGUUAUCCGGAUUUACUGGGCGUUAAGGGGGCGUAGACGGCGUUGCAAGCCAGGAGUGAAAGUCCGGGGCUCAACGCCGGGACUGCUUUUGAAACUGCGUGGCUGGAGUGCAGGAGCGGCAGGCGGAAUGCAUGGUGUAGCGGUGAAAUGCGUAGAUAUCAGGAAGAACACCGGUGGCGAAGGCAGCCUGCUGGACUGCAACUGACGUUGAGGCCCGAAAGCGUGGGGAGCAAACAGGAUUAGAUACCCUAGUAGUC
rnacentral:rRNA from 1 species